CAAGUUUUUAAGGGCGCACGGUGGAUGCCUUGGCACCAGGAACCGAUGAAGGACGUGGGAGGCCACGAUAGGCCCCGGGGAGCUGUCAACCGAGCUUUGAUCCGGGGGUGUCCGAAUGGGGAAACCCGGCAGUCGUCAUGGGCUGUCACCCGCUGCUGAACACAUAGGCAGUGUGGAGGGAACGCGGGGAAGUGAAACAUCUCAGUACCCGCAGGAAGAGAAAACAACCGUGAUUCCGGGAGUAGUGGCGAGCGAAACCGGAUGAGGCCAAACCAGUCACGUGUGAUACCCGGCAGGGGUUGCGUGGUUGGGGUUGUGGGAGUUCUCUUUUGCAGUCUGCCGGCUGUGAGACGAGUCAGAAACCGUUGAUGUAGGCGAAGGACAUGCGAAAGGUCCGGCGUAGAGGGUAAGACCCCCGUAGCUGAAACAUUAGCGGCUCGUUUGAGAACCACCCAAGUAGCACGGGGCCCGAGAAAUCCCGUGUGAAUCUGGCGGGACCACCCGUUAAGCCUAAAUAUUCCCUGGUGACCGAUAGCGGAUAGUACCGUGAGGGAAUGGUGAAAAGUACCGCGGGAGCGGAGUGAAAUAGUACCUGAAACCGUGUGCCUACAAGCCGUGGGAGCGUCGCGCAUCGAGCUUGCUCGGUGCGUCGUGACUGCGUGCCUUUUGAAGAAUGAGCCUGCGAGUUUGCGGUAUGUUGCGAGGUUAACCCGUGUGGGGAAGCCGUAGCGAAAGCGAGUCCGAAUAGGGCGUUGAGUAGCGUGCCCAAGACCCGAAGCGGAGUGAUCUAGCCAUGGGCAGGUUGAAGCGGAGGUAAGACUUCGUGGAGGACCGAACCCACCAGGGUUGAAAACCUGGGGGAUGACCUGUGGUUAGGGGUGAAAGGCCAAUCAAACUCCGUGAUAGCUGGUUCUCCCCGAAAUGCAUUUAGGUGCAGCGUCGUGUGUUUCUUGCCGGAGGUAGAGCACUGGAUAGGCGAUGGGCCCUACCGGGUUACUGACCUUAGCCAAACUCCGAAUGCCGGUAAGUGAGAGCGCGGCAGUGAGACUGUGGGGGAUAAGCUCCAUGGUCGAGAGGGAAACAGCCCAGAGCAUCGACUAAGGCCCCUAAGCGUGUGCUAAGUGGGAAAGGAUGUGGAGUCGCAGAGACAACCAGGAGGUUGGCUUAGAAGCAGCCACCCUUGAAAGAGUGCGUAAUAGCUCACUGGUCAAGUGAUUCCGCGCCGACAAUGUAGCGGGGCUCAAGCACACCGCCGAAGUCGUGUCAUUGCGAUAUUACCCCCAACGGGGAUCGUGAUGGGUAGGGGAGCGUCGUGUGCCGGGUGAAGCAGCCGUGGAAACGAGUUGUGGACGGUUCACGAGUGAGAAUGCAGGCAUGAGUAGCGAUACACACGUGGGAAACGUGUGCGCCGAUUGACUAAGGGUUCCUGGGUCAAGCUGAUCUGCCCAGGGUAAGUCGGGACCUAAGGCGAGGCCGACAGGCGUAGUCGAUGGACAACCGGUUGAUAUUCCGGUACCCGCUUUGAAACGCCCAGUAUCGAAUCCAUUAAUGCUAAGGCCGUGAAGCCGGCCUGGAGUCUUCGGACAAAGGGACGUGGUGGAGCCGCCGAUCCAAGGUGGUAGUAGGUAAGCGAUGGGGUGACGCAGGAAGGUAGUCCAGCCCGGGCGGUGGUUGUCC
rnacentral:rRNA from 1 species